rnacentral:rRNA from 1 species
UACGUAGGGUGCAAGCGUUGUCCGGAAUUAUUGGGCGUAAAGAGCUCGUAGGCGGUUCGUCGCGUCGGCUGUGAAAUCCCGAGGCUCAACCUCGGGUCUGCAGUCGAUACGGGCGGACUGGAGUUCGGCAGGGGAGACUGGAAUUCCUGGUGUAGCGGUGGAAUGCGCAGAUAUCAGGAGGAACACCGAUGGCGAAGGCAGGUCACUGGGCCGCAACUGACGCUGAGGAGCGAAAGCAUGGGGAGCGAACAGG